rnacentral:rRNA from 1 species
GCAAACGGGUGCGGAACACGUUACGCAACCUUCCUUUAAGCGGGGGAUAGCCCAGUGGAAACUUGAGAUUAAUAACCCCAUAAGACAAUGGUGUGGCAUCACACAGUUGUUCAAAGCUCCGGCACUUAAAGAUGGGCGUGCGGCUGAUUAGGUAGUUGGCGGGGUAACGGCCCACCAAGCCGACGAUCAGUAACUGGUGUGAGAGCACGACCAGUCACACGGGCACUGAGACACGGGCCCGACUCCAUACGGGAGGCAGCAGUAAGGAAUAUUGGUCAAUGGCACGCAAGUCUGAACCAGCCAUGCCGCGUGGAGGAUGAAGGCCCUCUGGGUUGUAAACUUCUUUUAUUGGGGAAGAAAUCUGUUUCUCUAAAGCAGUUGACGGUACCCGAUGAAUAAGCACCGGCUAACUCCGUGCCAGCAGCCGCGGUAAUACGGAGGGUGCAAGCGUUAUCCGGAUUCACUGGGUUUAACAGGGUGCGUAGGUUGGGCAAGGCAAAGUCAGUGGUGAAAUCCUCUGGGCUUUACCAAGAAACUGGCCGUUUGAUACUAUCUGUCUUGAAUGUCGUGGAAGGUUA